CCUACGGGGUGCAGCAGUGGGGAAUAUUGGGCAAUGGGCGCAAGCCUGACCCAGCAACGCCGCGUGAAGGAAGAAGGCUUUCGGGUUGUAAACUUCUUUUCUGAGGGACGAAGAAAGUGACGGUACCUCAGGAAUAAGCCACGGCUAACUCCGUGCCAGCAGCCGCGGUAAUACGUAGGGGGCAAGCGUUAUACGGAUUUAUUGGGAGUAAAGGGCGUGGAGGCGGGAAAGCAAGUCAGAUGUGAAAACGCAGGGCUCAACCCUGGACCUGCAUUUGAAACUGUUUUUCUUGAGUGCUGGAGAGGCAAUCGGAAUUCCGUGUGUAGCGGUGAAAUGCGUAGAUAUACGGAGGAACACCAGUGGCGAAGGCGGAUUGCUGGACCGUAACUGACGCUGAGGCGCGAAAGCGUGGGGAGCAAACAGGAUUAGAUACCCGAGUAGUC
rnacentral:rRNA from 1 species